AUUGAACGCUGGCGGCGUGCUUAACACAUGCAAGUCGAACGCGAAAGGGGCUUCGGCCCUGAGUAAAGUGGCGCACGGGUGAGUAACGCGUGGAUAAUCUGCCCUUAUGAUCGGGAUAACAGUUGGAAACGGCUGCUAAUACCGGAUACGCUCAAAAUGAACUUUUUGAGGAAAGAUGGCCUCUGCUUGCAUGCUAUCGCAUAGGGAUGAGUCCGCGUCCCAUUAGCUUGUUGGCGGGGUAACGGCCCACCAAGGCAACGAUGGGUAGCCGAUUUGAGAGGAUGAUCGGCCACACUGGAACUGAAACACGGUCCAGACUCCUACGGGAGGCAGCAGUGGGGAAUAUUGCGCAAUGGGCGAAAGCCUGACGCAGCGACGCCGCGUGAGGGAUGAAGGUUUUCGGAUCGUAAACCUCUGUCAGAAGGGAAGAAACUACGUUGUGCUAAUCAGCAGCGUACUGACGGUACCUUCAAAGGAAGCACCGGCUAACUCCGUGCCAGCCGCUGC
rnacentral:rRNA from 1 species